rfam:Ovis aries breed Texel chromosome 2, whole genome shotgun sequence.
UCCCUGGUGGCUCAGAUGGUAAAGCGUCUGUCUACCAUGCAGGAGACCCAGAUUCAAUCCCUGGGUCGGGAA